rnacentral:rRNA from 1 species
GUCCACACUGUAACGAUGAUUACUAGGUGUAGGGCGGCUGAACCGUUCUGUGCCGGAGUUAACACAAUAAGUAAUCCACCUGGGGAGUACGGCCGCAAGGUUGAAACUCAAAGGAAUUGACGGGGCCCGCACAAGCAGUGGAGUAUGUGGUUUAAUUCGACGCAACGCGAAAACCUUACCAGGUCUUGACAUCCGACUAAUGAAGUAGAGAUACAUUAAGUGCCCUUCGGGAAAGUCGAGACAGGUGGUGCAUGGUUGUCGU